rnacentral:tRNA from 1 species
UAGCCUAGUGGAUAAGGCUAUGGAUCGCCAAUCCAGAGACGGCGGGUUUGAUUCCCGU